rnacentral:snRNA from 1 species
AUCGCUUCUCGGCCUUUUGGCUAAGAUCAAGUGUAGUAUCUGUUCUUAUCAGUUUAAUAUCUGAUACGUCCUCUAUCCAGGGAUGGCUCCUCAGCUCUGAUAAGGCAGAGUCCAAGUCAAGGUCAGAUCCCAGACUUCUGCUGAGAACCGUUCAGUGGCUUCUCAUGGCCCUGGGGAUUCACAACAAUCCUGUGGACCAGGUCUGGU